rnacentral:lncRNA from 1 species
CAAUUUGAUCUUUUCUGUAUUGAUAUUAGGCUUUUCCAUUUUCAGAUGACUGAAUAGUCCAAAAUCUACAAAGAAUGUAUUAAUCAGAUGCGAGUUUUCAGAACAAGAAUAUGCUAGGUGUGAACAUGGGCUCAAGGCUGCCUAUCUUAUAACCAUUGAUUCAGAUUUCUUUGUUGGUAGAACUUUUUAUCAUUUUAUCCUGCUUUCUUUAAUUCUUGUUUCUUAAUUUAUUUAGAUCCAUUCCCCAUGUUCUGUUAUUUCGUUUGGAAAAAGUUCCCGAUGAUCUAAUCUGUGGUUGCAUUUAUUGUUUCCAAUUCUAUAACCAUAUUAUCAGCUAACACAAUUAGGAAGCCAAAUAUAAUUAUCUGGCCUUGCUUUCAGUUUUAAUAUCAGAACGUCCAUAGCCUAGUAUUGCAGCAAAGCCUUCACAGUAAACAAUGGCUUGUCGUAUGCUAUGAAUAUUGAGAUGUAGCAUUGCAACAGUAGUUUGUAUGUUGUAGAGGAAAAAUAGUUUACCUGAAAAUUAUUGAACUGACUAAUGCCACUUGUUUUGACAAUGACUUGGUGUUAUUGGUCACUUUCAUCAGUUCAUGCAUGUCAGAUCUGUAAUAUCCUAUGUCAAUUUGACUGGAGUGAAGAAACAUGCAUGAGAUGUCGUGCAUUUGAACGCCUUCUAGUUGUGCUAUUUAAGGUUCGUCUGAUAUUUACUGCUACGGUUUUGGCUUAAUCAUGUGAUGUUAGUCUGAGGUAUUUAUUUUCUUAUGAGUUUCCAAGAACAGAACUGGUUGUGCUAUUUUCUCUUGGAUAACUACAGGGUGGGAUAUUUUGUUAACCUGAUUAUGUUUUCUUUUCUGCAAUAUUUUCCUUUUGCCUUCGUUGAAAUUAUGAUAUUUAACAAGUGUAAUUUUACAGUAUGGUUCUCAUAAGUGAUGUUGUCAAUCUGCAUUGCAGGAGAAUCAGUAGAUUCAUGAACUUUUGGAACCCCAUUUACCAUCAGUAUUGCUAUCUCAACAAUCUUCUAUAUCGGCAAGCAUUUGUCACCCACCAGAAUACUUUCUUUUUCUUUUUUUGUUCUUUUUUUUUUACGGGGAAUCCGCAGCGGCUACUCUUCGGAUGCGCACUGGGUAAACCCUUGGGCUGACGCAAUAGUCUGCAAACCAUGCCAUUUAGAUAAACCGCACUAGACAAAUCCGGUGCGAUAGCCUUAACUCAAAAUACUUUCUUUGCUUCUAUAUGAGCUGGUUCAACAUGGUAUAGAUUAGACAUCGGUACACAGGUCAAAUUUCUGUCAAAAUAAAUGAAUCGGACCUGUAUGUGAGAGAGCGUUGUUGGAAAAAGAGAUUCCAAUAAUCGAACGUUCUUUGACUUGUGAUAUUGGAUUCUUGGAGGACGAAAACACCAAUCAGGCAUUUAAUAUUGUGCAACCGUCUAGAGUUGGCAUAUUUGGCUCGACUCUGCAUAGCAAACACCGUGAAAUACCAGUGUCUGUCCUCAGUAAGAUGUUUAUAUGAGGAUCCCAAAUCAAUUCAAGCGGCAGGCUGCACGGAAACUUGAGAUUUUUUGACCCUUGGUGGUGACAAUUCAACAAAUCAAUCCUACAAGCAGGCCAUGAUUAUAUCAAAGCCUCUCAUGGCACCAUGUCAUCAAAAUGAACUUCAUAUUUUCUUAGACAGACAUGAAAAUAGGAUUGGUCAAUGCCUGUAAUCUAUUUAAUUACUCUUGUUUUCGCUAAUCACAGGUACCCAGAAACGUCUUUUCUCAAUAUACUGUGCUAAGAAGCAUUGAUGAUACAAGAAGAAGAGAGCAAGAGAUGAGGCAUUUGC